rnacentral:rRNA from 1 species
GUUAAUUGGGUGACGGCAGCCUCUGUCAGUCGAAUCUUGCUAAAGUUAGUCGGAAUUAUGUGGCUUAAAUGGUGCGUAGGGGGUGCAGAAAGUCGGGUGUGAAAUCCGCCAGCUCAAGUGGAGAAUUGCGCCCGGAACUGCUGUGCUUGAGAAAGAUAGAUGUACGCGGAACUUAGGGUGGAGCGGUGAAAUGCGUUGAUAUCCUAAGGAACACCGGUGGCGAAAGCGGCGUACUGGGUCUUUUCUGACGCUGAGGCACGAAAGCCAGGGUAGCGAACGGGAUUAGAUACCCCGGUAGUC